UCCUUUUUAAUAUAAACAGUAUAAUUGACUUCCAAUCAAUAAGUCUUGAACUACCUCAAGAAAGGAUA
rnacentral:tRNA from 1 species